AGCGAACGCUGGCGGCAGGCCUAACACAUGCAAGUCGAACGGCUCUUCGGAGCAGUGGCGGACGGGUGAGUAACGCGUGGGAACGUGCCCUUUGGUUCGGAACAACACAGGGAAACUUGUGCUAAUACCGGAUGAGCCCUUCGGGGGAAAGAUUUAUCGCCAUUGGAGCGGCCCGCGUUGGAUUAGGUAGUUGGUGGGGUAAAGGCCCACCAAGCCGACGAUCCAUAGCUGGUCUGAGAGGAUGAUCAGCCACACUGGGACUGAGACACGGCCCAGACUCCUACGGGAGGCAGCAGUGGGGAAUCUUGCGCAAUGGGCGAAAGCCUGACGCAGCCAUGCCGCGUGAAUGAUGAAGGUCUUAGGAUUGUAAAAUUCUUUCACCGGGGAAGAUAAUGACGGUACCCGGAGAAGAAGCCCCGGCUAACUUCGUGCCAGCAGCCGCGGUAAUACGAAGGGGGCUAGCGUUGCUCGGAAUUACUGGGCGUAAAGGGCGCGUAGGCGGACAGUUUAGUCAGAGGUAAAAGCCCAGGGCUCAACCUUGGAACUGCCUUUGAUACUGGCUGUCUUGAGUUCGGGAGAGGUGAGUGGAAUGCCGAGUGUAGAGGUGAAAUUCGUAGAUAUUCGGCGGAACACCAGUGGCGAAGGCGACUCACUGGCCCGAUACUGACGCUGAGGCGCGAAGCGUGGGGAGCAAACAG
rnacentral:rRNA from 1 species